GUGAAAGCCGGACACUGUCCUCCUCUUCUUCCCACAGCAAUUCGUGAGCCGGCCAGGUCUGUCAGUUGCUGUCCGUGCUCCAGGAAUGUGUACCAGGCUCACCACAAAGCACGCAAUCUCUGCCAGCCUCGGGGCUCACGGGCACGAAGCCGGUGCGGCUCAGUGCAUGAAUGACAGCAGCAGCCCCAGUGCCAAAGGUCCAACAAGGUGAGUGUGGUCUGCCCGAGCCGGCUGGCCCCGAGCCAGAUUGCAGGUGUGGACUUCAGCAUUUCAGCUGCUCAGUUCUUCCGGAUCUGUGCUGAGGGAACGCUAUAACCCUACACCACCCUACACGGCCUAGGCACACAUCUCCAUCUGCAGCCUUGGGCAUCUGUCACGAGCACUACAUUCCUCAGUAAUCAAGGAAGUUAUAAGCCAAAGAGAUGCUUUUGUUUGAAAGAAAUGACAGAACAAAUAACUUAAUGAACAUUUUAAAAAUAAUUUAUGUCCUGUCUCCAAGUAAUUAAGACCAGAAGAAAACAGAGAUAUGGCUACACAUAUCCUUAUCCCUUAAGACGUUAGAGACCAGAGAGUUGAAGAGAGGAAAUCUGCAUUGGAUAAAUGGAAACUGCACUGAACUAUGGGUGUCUCACACUCUGUGUGCAAAAUGCCUCUGUUUGCCUCUGCCUCUCAGCUGUCUGUCACCAGGGCAGGAUAUUGAGCUAUCGAGCUAUCAGCAUGAAAAGGACCUGAGGAAGAGAGAAAGAAAUCAUUGCCCAGCGCAGAGGAAUGAAUGGAAGGAGGCCCAAAGACCAUUAUGCUGUGGAAGAAAUGAAAUGGGAUGGCACAGAAUCAACAGGCUUUUCUAUGAAUAGCCCUUGAUCACAAGAUGGACACAGAGCUUACAGUACAUGGAGGAGGAAGAAGGUUUGCCCUCCUAGAACAGCAGGAGUGGGUAGCCUGGUCUUACCAUAACAAAUUACCUAAAUGUAGACAUGAUAAAAGGCUGAUUUAUUUUUUCCCUGUCAAAAUCUCCUGUCCAUCUUCAGGCUAACUGCUGAAACAAUCCAGAGGAAAAAGAAAAGUUCCUGUAACACAUGAUCAACUGGAAUAUUAAUCCUAUGAGAUUUGGGAGUAAUUGCAGUCACAAAUUGUACAAGAACUUACACCUGUGGUCAUUAAGGUUAUAAAGUCCCAUUCAUAUUGCUACAAAAAUGAGGUUAUAAUUAACUUCUAACAGCCUUCACUUUCCAGGGGGAUUAAGAUCUAUUCUACCUUCAUCAUGCCUAAGGCAUGAAACCCAUUUAUAGCAGAGAUUAUCAAAUGGACAGAUGCAUGUAAAAUAUUUCAGAACCAGACUUAGUAAG
rnacentral:lncRNA from 1 species